UACGGAGGGUGCAAACGUUGCUCGGAAUUAUUGGGCGUAAAGCGCACGUAGGCGGACCAUCAAGUCGGAUGUGAAAUCCCUCGGCUUAACCGAGGACGUGCAUUCGAAACUGAUGGCCUUGAGUACGAAAGAGGAUCGCGGAAUUCCCGGUGUAGAGGUGAAAUUCGUAGAUAUCGGGAGGAACACCAGUGGCGAAGGCGGCGAUCUGGGUCGAUACUGACGCUGAGGUGCGAAAGCCAGGGGAGCGAACGGG
rnacentral:rRNA from 1 species